rnacentral:rRNA from 1 species
GACGUAGGGGGCCAGCGUUGUUCGGAAUUACUGGGUGUAAAGGGUUCGUAGGCGGUGCGGCAAGUUGGGCGUGAAAUCUCUGGGCUUAACCCAGAGGCUGCUUCCGAAACUGCUGUGCUUGAGUGUGGGAGAGGCGCGUGGAAUUGCAGGUGUAGCGGUGAAAUGCGUAGAGAUCGGCAGGAACACCCAGGGGGAAACCAGCCGACUGGGCAAGUGCUGACGCUGAGGUGCGAGAGCGUGGGGAGCGAACCGG